rnacentral:rRNA from 1 species
GGAUGAACGCUAGCUACAGGCUUAACACAUGCAAGUCGAGGGGCAGCAGGAAGAAAGCUUGCUUUCUUUGCUGGCGACCGGCGCACGGGUGAGUAACACGUAUCCAACCUGCCCUUUACUCGGGGAUAGCCUUUCGAAAGAAAGAUUAAUACCCGAUAGCAUAAUGAUUCCGCAUGGUUUCAUUAUUAAAGGAUUCCGGUAAAGGAUGGGGAUGCGUUCCAUUAGGUUGUUGGUGAGGUAACGGCCCACCAAGCCUUCGAUGGAUAGGGGUUCUGAGAGGAAGGUCCCCCACAUUGGAACUGAGACACGGUCCAAACUCCUACGGGAGGCAGCAGUGAGGAAUAUUGGUCAAUGGGCGCUAGCCUGAACCAGCCAAGUAGCGUGAAGGAUGAAGGCUCUAUGGGUCGUAAACUUCUUUUAUAUAAGAAUAAAGUGCAGUAUGUAUACUGUUUUGUAUGUAUUAUAUGAAUAAGGAUCGGCUAACUCCGUGCCAGCAGCCGCGGUAAUACGGAGGAUCCGAGCGUUAUCCGGAUUUAUUGGGUUUAAAGGGAGCGUAGGUGGACUGGUAAGUCAGUUGUGAAAGUUUGCGGCUCAACCGUAAAAUUGCAGUUGAUACUGUCAGUCUUGAGUACAGUAGAGGUGGGCGGAAUUCGUGGUGUAGCGGUGAAAUGCUUAGAUAUCACGAAGAACUCCGAUUGCGAAGGCAGCUCACUGGACUGCAACUGACACUGAUGCUCGAAAGUGUGGGUAUCAAACAGGAUUAGAUACCCUGGUAGUCCACACAGUAAAACGAUGAAUACUUGCUGUUUGCGAUAUACAGUAAGCGGCCAAGCGAAAGCAUUAAGUAUUCCACCUGGGGAGUACGCCGGCAACGGUGAAACUCAAAGGAAUUGACGGGGGCCCGCACAAGCGGAGGAACAUGUGGUUUAAUUCGAUGAUACGCGAGGAACCUUACCCGGGCUUAAAUUGCAGUGGAAUGAUGUGGAAACAUGUCAGUGAGCAAUCACCGCUGUGAAGGUGCUGCAUGGUUGUCGUCAGCUCGUGCCGCGAGGUGUCGGCUUAAGUGCCAUAACGAGCGCAACCCUUAUCUUUAGUUACUAACAGGUUAUGCUGAGGACUCUAGAGAGACUGCCGUCGUAAGAUGUGAGGAAGGUGGGGAUGACGUCAAAUCAGCACGGCCCUUACGUCCGGGGCUACACACGUGUUACAAUGGGGGGUACAGAAGGCAGCUAGCGGGUGACCGUAUGCUAAUCCCAAAAUCCUCUCUCAGUUCGGAUCGAGGUCUGCAACCCGACUUCGUGAAGCUGGAUUCGCUAGUAAUCGCGCAUCAGCCACGGCGCGGUGAAUACGUUCCCGGGCCUUGUACACACCGCCCGUCAAGCCAUGGGAGCCGGGGGUACCUGAAGUACGUAACCGCAAGGAUCGUCCUAGGGUAAAACUGGUGACU